CUUUAAGUAGCUUAAACAAAGUAUUAGCCUCUUAAUCUAAAUAUGAACUAAAUAUUCCUUAAAGA
rnacentral:tRNA from 1 species